UACGAAGGGGGCUAGCGUUGCUCGGAAUUACUGGGCGUAAAGGGUGCGUAGGCGGGUCUUUAAGUCAGGGGUGAAAUCCUGGAGCUCAACUCCAGAACUGCCUUUGAUACUGGCGAUCUUGAGUCCGGGAGAGGUGAGUGGAACUGCGAGUGUAGAGGUGAAAUUCGUAGAUAUUCGCAAGAACACCAGUGGCGAAGGCGGCUCACUGGCCCGGUACUGACGCUGAGGUGCGAAAGCGUGGGGAGCAAACAGG
rnacentral:rRNA from 1 species